AAGACUCCAUAAAUUUCAACAACCAACUCCACCAUCAAUAAUAAAUGGCCAUCAUGACUUUGACGACCACCUGCAUAUUUGAAUUUAUGCUCUUGCCACAACUGCCUCUCUAAUCAAGCCAAGACUCUCAAAACAGGACUAAAGAAUUCUCAAUGGAUGAACACCAUGCAAGAUGAACUUCAAGCUCUCCAUCAUAAUAAAACAUAGACUCUUGUCUCUUAUCCUCUAGAU
rnacentral:lncRNA from 1 species